AUUAUGGGUUGAAUUGUGUCCCACAAAAAGGUCUCUGAUCAAGUGCCACAUCUUUAGAGAAGCUUUUCCAAACAACCGAUUAUGAAGUACACAUUAACAAUGAAGCCUCUUUUCAAGUAAAGAAGUGAGUAGUUUUAUUUGAUAUGAUUAAAAUAACUAUAACAUAUAUGCGAAAUAUGAAGCCAAAUAAUAAAAUUAAGAAGCAUGGAUCCAUCAUUCUACUCAAAAAACUCUGGUAACCACCAAUCUACACUCUAUUUUCAUGAGAUCCAGUUUUAUAGCUCCCACAUGUAACUUUUCAGACAUGAAUUGGAAUAAGAUAAGGCCAACUUGCUCAACUACAUUCCUUACUAAAACAUAAUAACUAAAAGCUACAGUGUGCAUUUCAUGUUUCACAUGUUCUGUUGCAGUGCCAAGACUAGGUUUAAGCAAUUCAGCUGCACAGUUACCAACCACUUCUUCUUGGAAGAUUUACCUACAAUCUAACUGAUAUACUUAACAAAAUUAUAUUUUUAAUAUUGAUUGUACAAUUUUUUACUCCUUAAUUGUAUCUGACAGCUUCUUAUACUUUAAACUUGAUCAACAGUAAAUUGUGAAGAGAGUAACUAUACACCACAUGGCUUGACAAUAUCCAAACAUCAUUCUUGUUCUACAAAAGUUACAAAUGACGGAGUCUCGCUCUGUCGCCCAGGCUGGUGUGCAGUGACACAGUCUCGGCUCACUGCAACCUCUGCCUCCCGGGUUCAAGCAAUUCUCCUGCCUCAGCCUCCCGAGUAGCUGGGACUACAGGCACUUGCCACCACGCCCAGCGAAUUGUUUUG
rnacentral:lncRNA from 1 species